AUUGAACGCUGGCGGCAGGCCUAACACAUGCAAGUCGAACGGUAACAGGAAACUGCUUGCUGUUUCGCUGACGUGUGGCGGACGGGUGAGUCAUGUCUGGGAAACUGCCUGAUGGAGGGGGACUACUACUGGAAACGGUAGCUAAUACCGCACAACGACUCCCGCCCAAAGAGGGGGACUCUCAGGCCUCUUGCCAUAGGAUGCGCCCAGAUGGGGUUGGCUUGUUGGUGGGGUAGCGGCUCACCAAGGCGACGGCCCCUAGCUGCGCUGAGCGGUUGACCAGCCACACUGGAACUGAGACACGGUCCAGACUCCUACGGGAGGAAGCAGUGGGGAAUAUUGCACAAUGGGGGCAAGCCUGAUGCAGCCAUGCCGGGUGUAUGAAGAAGGCGUUCGGGUUGUAAAGUGCUUUCAGCGGGGAGGAAGGGAGUAAAGAUAAUACCUUUGCUCAUUGACGUUACCCGCAGAAGAAGCACCGGCUAACUCCGUG
rnacentral:rRNA from 1 species